CCUACGGGAGGCAGCAGUGGGGAAUAUUGCACAAUGGGGGAAACCCUGAUGCAGCGAAGCCGCGUGAGUGAAGAAGUAUCUCGGUAUGUAAAGCUCUAUCAGCAGGGAAGAAAAUGACGGUACCUGAUUAAGAAGCCCCGGGUAACUACGUGCCAGCAGCCGCGGAAAUCCGUAGGGGGCAAGCGGUAUUCGGAUUUACUGGGUGGAAAGGGAGCGUAGACGGCAGCGUAAGUCUGAAGUGAAAUGCCGGGGCUUAACCCCGGAACUGCGUUGGAAACUGUGCAGCUUGAGUGGAGGAGAGGUAAGUGGAAUUCCUGGUGUAGCGGUGAAAUGCGUAGAUAUUAGGAAGAACACCAGUGGCGAAGGCGGCUUACUGGACUGUAACUGACGUUGAGGCUCGAAAGCGUGGGGAGCAAACAGGAUUAGAUACCCUGGUAGUC
rnacentral:rRNA from 1 species